rnacentral:rRNA from 1 species
AUGUUGCAGAAUAUAAAAACCAGCGAACGAGCACUGAGACUCGUCGUUGCUCACGCCGCCCGUUCCUCUCCCCGCCGCCGCACACGACGACAUCUCCUCUCCUCCCUUCCCUGCACACCGCUAUCGCCGCCUAUGCCUCUGCGCCCUUGUCCGUCUUGUGGCAGACCCCCACCACCGCUGACUGGAUCCCCGUCGCGCCCCAAUCGACGGCGCCGCGGCCGUAUUCUCGACAAUGAGCCUGGAUCCCGCCACAUCCAGGCCAUCCACCGUCCCAUCGUCAAUGCCUUCCCUCACCAAGCGCUUCCCCAUCUCUCCUCUGCAUUCUUGGUGGCGAAAGCCGGCCCCUCGGACUUUGGUUCUGGCUCUCUUCGAACGGAUCGGAUACAUACGGCAGGAAUCAAGCAGCAGCUCACCUCCAUAGCCUACAGUGGCGGCAAGAUAAUGCAAGACCUUGUGAAAGAGAGGUUGCCCAGGUUCACUCCUGAUCAAGCUAAAGUGGUCAAGGGCUCACCAGACUAUACCGGAGUCAAUCAAUAUAGAACUAACUUCACAAAGGAGCCGAAAUUGAUGCAGCAGGCGCUGACUAGCUACUCAGUCGAUUUGCGGGUUAUGAAUGGAACAACCAGGGAACCACAACUCAAUAGAGGAGGUGAGGCGAUUGGCAUGACAUGCGACCAGAUGGCCCUGCAACUUGGCCAAGCUGAUCUAGUGGCAGUUUACUGGGCCUCGGAGGGAAGCUGUCGGAGGCCGCCACUCCUCGUUGCUGAAGUCAAACACCAUUAUGUCGCGUGCGUACACCUCCUUGAACUUGGCACUGGCAUAAAGGGCCAGAAAGUUGGCGACCCCAUUGAUUACAGCGACGCCGUCGCUGUUGGGCACCACCUUUAA